UGACAGUCAACAGCAAAAAUACAAGUGGACCCAGCCAAUGAUUACACCCGAGAUGGUUGCAUCACUCUAUACGGACAACACUGAACAGCAGCUGGCAGCCACCCAGAAGUUUAGAAAGCUUUUAUCAAAAGAACCUAACCCACCAAUUGAUGAAGUUAUUCAGACUGGAAUAAUUCCCCGGUUUGUUGAAUUUCUACAACGAACAGACAAUUGUACACUUCAG